rnacentral:rRNA from 1 species
AACGACUCUCGGCAACGGAUAUCUCGGCUCUCGCAUCGAUGAAGAACGUAGCGAAAUGCGAUACUUGGUGUGAAUUGCAGAAUCCCGUGAACCAUCGAGUCUUUGAACGCAAGUUGCGCCCGAAGCCUUCGGGUUGAGGGCACGCCUGCCUGGGCGUCACGC